rnacentral:rRNA from 1 species
UACGUAGGCAGCAAGCGUUGUUCGGAGUUACUGGGCGUAAAGAGUGCGUAGGCGGUCCUGUAAGUUUGGUGUGAAAUCUCCCGGCUCAACUGGGAGGGUGCGCCGAAGACUGCAGGGCUUGAGUAUGGGAGAGGUAAGCGGAAUUCCGAGUGUAGAGGUGAAAUUCGUAGAUAUUCGGAAGAACACCAGUGGCGAAGGCGACUUACUGGACGAUUGUUGACGCUGAGGUGCGAAAGCGUGGGGAGCAAACAGG